AAAAGAACCUACAAAGUAUCAAAGAUGGGCUACAGUUGGUGCCUCAACAUGGGGCUUCAAAGUUAAGGAUAAAAUGGGAAAUUUGAUUUCAGCUGCCCACAGAGGAAACGGCAGGGGAUGAAGGAAUGUUUUGGUUUUUUUUCCCCCAAGACACCAGAAAAAGUGUAUUGGUGCUGGGAUAUCUGCUCCCAGAGGGGAUUUUCCGUUUUGUUUUGUUUUCUUUUCUUUUCUUUUCUUUUUUUUCGGAGCUGGGGACCGAACCCAGGGCCUUGCGCUUGCUAGGCUCUACCACUGAGCUAAAUCCCCAACCCUUUGUUUUUGUUUUUGUUUUCCUUUUAUUCUUAAAAAAAAAAGGGGGAGGGUCAGGAGAACAGCUAAGCAGUUGGGAAAAUUGCAGGUGGAAAUGGCGGGGCCUGAGAAACAGCAGCUACAACAUGGCUGAAAUGGAAUAACAGAAGGGGUCACUCUACUCUUCUGAAAGGGUUGCAGAGUUCGGGGUGCAGCUGGAGAGGUUGAGGGUGGAGAUGGCAGCACUUGGGAAUCAAGGAGCACCAGAGAGAGAACAAGGCUCCGUCUGGGUGACUGGGAGAGCAGGCAGGUGUUUCCGCAGGUGAAAAGGGGGAAACAACUUCACCAGGAGAAGGUCCGGUCAGAGAGGAGCUGGAAAAGCAGGAAGACAGGCUGAUGGGAGAGUUAGGGAAGGGGUGGCCUGGGGUUAGGAGACCACCAUCAGCUUUUCCAGUGCUCAUACAGCACAUGCCUGCUAAUGGUGGGAACACAGUUAUGAUGAGAUGGGAUGGCGUCCUACAGAAACGAUACACCUAAGGCCUUUUAAAGAGGCUAUGGUUUCAUGUGGGAUGCAUUUGCCUUACGUGAAACAAAUUCUAAAUAACUGGGCUACUCAAAGUAGAAUUAAUCCCCUAAACUGGAAGAGAUUGGGAACAGCUGUACUAGAGGCCAGUCUGAAGUUGCAGUGGUCACCAUGGUGGAGGGAAAAAGUUGUGAAUACUGAAAAGGAAAUAGAGUAAGGGGAAUGAAUACAGUAAAAUGCAGUUGCUAGAUGAAGGGUGGUGCAGUUGCUAGGUGAAGGGUGGUGGUGCAGUUGCUAGGUGAAGGGUGGUGGUGCAGUUGCUACGUGAAGGGUGGUGGUGCAGUUGCUACGUGAAGGGUGGUGGUGCAGUUGCUACGUGAAGGGUGGUGGUGCAGUUGCUACGUGAAGGGUGGUGCUCUGACAAACAGCAGCAGAUUCAGUGUAGUGAUGCUGCUGUAGAACAAUGUCGCUGAGGUUCUGUAAGAGCUUGGGGAAAAGUAUGCCUCACUCACAAAGAUUAUACAAGGCUCUGCAGAAGCCUUCGCUGAUUUUUUACAAAGAUUCGUCUCAACUAUGAACAACGCUAAAUCAGACCCUGACUCAAGGCAGGUGUUGAUAGAGACCAUGGCUCAUGAAGAUACGAACAGGGAAUGUAAAAGCUAUUAAACCAUUAAAGGCUCCAUCGGCACCUAUAGACGGUGGAUAAGGAAUCCCAACCCAACCAGCGCUGGUUCUAACACACACCAUGCUAAUAUCAAACUAUAGCUAGAGGUCUCCAAUAUCAAAGUGCUCAGUGCUUCAGUUGCAGAAAAUAAAGUCAUUUGCAAAGAGACUGUGACAAGGGUGCUAAAGGCCUCAGAUCUCAAAAUGCCUAGUGCUUUAAUUGUGGGGAAAAUGAUCGUUUGCAACAAAAUUGUGAACAAGGCAUCUCUGAGGACAAUGGUUUUUCUAAAUAUAAACCAGAAAGAAAGCCUAGGCUUCCAGGGGUGCACAGGGAAUGUGGCCAGGGUUGACAUUGGAGCCAUGAGUGUAGGUCCAAGAGAGAGAUUCAAGGUCAUUUCUGACCAUCAGAAACAGCCCUGGGGGCCUAGCCUGAGACCCUGCAGCAAAAAGUACCAGCUGUGUCAGCCAAGGAGUGACACGCAGACUGACAAACGUUCACUUGGCAUUGGAGAUUUGAUGCAUGCCACACAUAGCAGUGCAGCUCUCAGACAGCUACAGGCAAACGUCCUACUCUCUCCCCAGAAACUUGGUGUCACAGUCAACUGGCCAGCUGUGUGGAGCACGUGCAGGACAGUGUGACUUCUUCAUCUUGGAGGCUCUGAGGCUGCCCCUGGGGAGGGAGCACAGAAGAAUGGUCGAGGAAGGGUGGGCAGUGAUUGGUUUGAGAACCUUUGGUUGGGCAGGAAGGACAGACCAGGUUAUGGGGCAUUGAGGACAAGAGGACAGAGUCCGGGCAGCAGAACUGGGACACUUCGUCCACCUCCUCCUCAUUGCAGACACACCUAUCCCCAGGAGACACCCACGACAGCCGUGGCCACCCAUACCUGCCCAGCAGCCUGUGGCUCUGAGAUUAGAUGCAAUGACCUUCAGACACAGUCUAGCACUGGGGCUGGGAAAUGUUGGUUCUUAGUGUCACUCCCCUCCCCCUGGCCCCAGGUGACACCUUUAAAUAGCAUCAGGGUGAGGUUUGCUGACAAGUUUACCUUUUGGGGAGCCCUCUGGAAAGACAACUAGUCCUUCGAGAUGCCUGGAUUCCUUCCUGGUGGCUCAGUAGAUCCUGUCUCUUCCUGUGCCUGGACGGGUCACAGUGGGGGUGGUGCCCAGGAUGAGGAGGAGAAGCUUUCCCCGUGCCUGGGUCCAUCUGGAGCUCACAGUGCACACACAUAGCACAAGGCCCUGUGACUUUCUGGCCAUCCGUCCUGCACACUUCCUCUGUAAGGAAGGUUGGCAAGGACCUGUCUGGAAGGGUCCUGAGGAAGUGGUCAUGUUUCUGGAAAACAAUGUGGCAUAUAGUACCCAGUGCACCCGGCCUCUUUUGUUCCGUGCUGGAACUCAAAGUUCCUCUCCUAGAAUGAACUCCUUGCACCCCUGGACAUUUUUGGAUUCCCUGUAAUACAGAGAUGGCAGGACGCACACCUGGGAGGUGUCUGACUGGGUUUAAUUUAAUAACAGCUCAUUGGAAUAUAAUUUACAUACCACAUAAAUCGCUCAUUUAUGUAUAAACGCAGUUAUUAGUGCAUAAACAUUGGGCAAC
ensembl:lncRNA